CCACGGAUAAAAGUUUGGCAUACGGUAAAAUUUGAAACACGAAGCGUAACAGGCGCACGUUAAAACACGGAACACGAUUUUCACGAUUAACCACGGAAAUCGAGCAACUCGGAUUACAUUCGUAUUUCAAUAAUCCAAGAUCUACCACAUAGGCGUUAAUCGUAUCAAGCAUCUAUCAACAUUCAAGAAUCAAACGUGUAAAAGUUUCGCACGAAACGUGUAGAGGGAGCUGGCCGCAGUUGUCAACGGCGUACGGCGUACGUGAACAGAAGGCUGGUCGAUAUGGGGAGAAAGAAAUACACUGGUAAAAUGUCGAUCGUCGAGUGGCACGAUAUCCAUCGGAUACGUACUGGAUGGAACGAUUAAUCCUCCGGUUCGUCUUCUUUGUCGUAAUCUCGGACGGCAAGACGGCACGACGGUACUAUGACAGUUUACCUCACAGUAAUGGCAAAUGCGUUACGACGAUCUGUCACGUGGUUAAGGGGUAAAAAUGAUCCGCAGGUUUGCACGUGUACGCCUACUCGCGUUCGUAUGCAUACUUCUAUACACGUGAAUUACGCGGUCGAAACGUGUAUUAUCUGUGUUGGUACGCGAAAUAUACAUAUGUAUACGUUGAAUGGCGGCUGUGCAAAAACGUCACAACGAGACGGCGCGUGGACGGUCGCGGCUGAACUGAUCGUGGGGGUCGAGCCACAGGUGUCAUCAGACGACGGCUGCUCCACCCCUCUGCCCCCACUGUUGCUCCCACACCCGCCCUCGAUCCCCACUCCCAUUCGCUACUUUCACGCACACGUCCAGCCCUGACGAAGGAGACGCGUGCGCACACCAGCCGGCUUCCUCUGUAAUCAUGCAAUAUCAUUUCGUCUACAGACGCGGCGCCUAUGACCGCCUAUGACCGCCUAUGAACGAGGCACGUGCUUCGCAUAGCUUCUUUUCAAACGAUACCGACUAUACUUUUUUUUUUUUCUAUUUUCUACAUUGCUUCUCUUGCUUUCAACGCAAAUACCAACAUGUAAUAUCGCACGAUGAACCACCUUUGUUUCAACACAGCAUUUGUUUAUUGAUUGCCUUAAACACUAUUAUGUAACACUAGGGAUCUGAAGAUAACAGAAAGGGAAGCAUAAAGUGUCUAUUGAUUAUCUUCAUCUAUUGAAAAACAAAAGUUAAUGAUUAAAUCAAAACAUUCGUAAUUCAAAUAGAUAUUUAUUCAAAAACCAGUGUAUUUCGUGACAAAACAUAUAACGUCAAUUAUUGACGCAAUGCUCAUGAAGUAUUCUCAUUCGCUCAAUCUCAUUCACACGAAUCCCUCCCUCUCUGUGAUUUAUACUCUUUAUACUAACUAUAUGUAUAUUUAUAAUAUAUAUAUAUAGAUAUAUAUAUAUAUAUAUAAAUUUUUUUUCUUUACGUUAGCUGUAUAAUAUAUAGUAUUUUCUAUUUCCAUCAUUCCUGUUUCAUUUCGUAUCAUGUACAAUUUAUCAUUGUAACGUUAAAAUUCUAUCCAUAGUCUAAUUACAUAUACAGUAUGUGUGAUAUGGGCGCUUUCAGCCGCUGUAUCUCUAUGCGGUACGUACAUUUCCCACGCACCCAAAAUUUUCCCUCUAAUUAGACGCGAGCAAAUAACACGAGCUUUCAUUUCGUAAUAAAACAGAAAAUCAGAUUUCCGUUAAAAAUAGUCUAUGGAAUAUAUGCAUCAAUUCAUUAUUUAAAAAAAGAAAAGGAAAAACGAAAAUCAAUCGAUCGUUCGCUCGACCGUCACAUCUUCGACGCUAAGCUACAUCUAGAAAAAUAUUUACCGAUUCUCUAAGGGGGAAAAGUUUGCAAGUAACGUUUGUUUUCUUGCCGCCUUCUAGCGUGGAAGAAACACGCCGAUUUUUCAUUAAACGAUAAAGGUAAAGUCGCAUGAUCGGACUUCGGAACAGAUCGUUUUACUAAACCUUUCGAUCGCCCUCGACUUCGUCACGUGUCGCUCGUGAGAUCCGCACGACCGUCCUGGGAAACGGAAGUGCUACUCACUUACCCUCUGCCUCGUCCAAAAGAUACUCUUAUCUUUCUCGUAAAAAAAAAAAGAUCUGGUACACCGCGAAAGAGAGUUAAGCACGUUAUUGUUGGAAAUCGUUCGGAGAACCGCUGUUUCGAGAAACGUACAUGUAAAGGAAAGUGUAAAGGAAAUCCUGGUAUUAGUAUGUAUUUUUAUUUUGUGCAAAUAUAAAAAAUUCUUUGUACGGUUGUAAAAAUUUGUCAAAGUAAAACCGUACGCCUUGAUUUUCGAGCGUGAUACCAAAUGGUAAUUGAUUAAGUUUUUCGGGGUGGGUUUUUUGUAACGUAAACAACUCGAUAAUACCAUGUCAACAUUUAAUGCAAAUCUACGUUUCACGAGCAAAUGAUUUAUAAUUAUAAUAGUAAUUAAUCAAGGGGAACACGUUUUGUCCGAAUCAUACAUUAUAAUGUACGUAAUAUAAUAAUAUUUUUACAUUUCGUUUCUACUUGAUUUCACUCUCGUAAAUUUUAUUAAAGGAUAGAAUAAUUCCGCGCUGCUUUGGGCCGAUUCGUUGAUUAGCCACGUCUAUGAAAGCAAAUAGCAGAAAAGUCGCGCUAGGCGCGAAGUUAUUAAUCGCUAGUCAAAAUUGAAAAUCUAUCAGAAGUAUCCCAGGACGAAUAAUUCGAUGGUAUGAAAUGACCGAUACGUUAUUCGUCGCUUCUCGUUAUUUGUUGCCUGAUAAACAUGCCAGGAUACGGUAAAGCAUAAUCUAUGAUGAAACAAUUAUUAAAAAUAUACAAUUCUCUUAUUGUGAUAAAAGAAAAAAGAA